UACGUAGGCAGCAAGCGUUGUUCGGAGUUACUGGGCGUAAAGGGUGUGUAGGCGGUCUUCUAAGUUUGGUGUGAAAUCUCCCGGCUCAACUGGGAGGGUGCGCCGAAAACUGGGAGGCUAGAGUACUGGAUGGGAGAGUGGAAUUCCUGGUGUAGCGGUGAAAUGCGUAGAUAUCAGGAGGAACACCGGUGGUGUAGACGGCUCUCUGGACAGUAACUGACGCUGAGACACGAAAGCAUGGGUAGCAAACAGG
rnacentral:rRNA from 1 species